AAAUGAAUGACUAAGUAGAUUUUAAAAGCCACGUGGCCAGUGAUGCCUCACACUGAGGCACUGACCUGUCCUCGAUUAUCUGAGCCCUGGAGACUUAAAGAAAAGGCCUUAGCACUUAAGGGCCUACGGAGGGCCUUGCCCUCGGGGCUUAGCUGAAGCUCAGAGUUAAUCUGGGAGAAGAGUGAGACUGCUCAGUCAGUCCCCAACCACACGACCCUCUAAGGCCUGCUUCCCAAGGAUACCCAGGCCCAAGUCCACCACCCCACAUGCCCUUUCCAGUGGUCCGGCAGCACUCCCUGGAUCAACCUGAGAAAGCAACACUUCUAGAAACAUAUCCUCACGCCAUGUCACUGUAUUCCACACUAUGUGAAGAUUUUACUUCUGUUAUAAAAGAACUGCCUCAUUAAAUCUUCCCAAUAACCCCAUGAAGUUGGCCCUAUAAUCAUCCCCAUUUUACAGAUGCUCACAGAGAGAUCACACAGCAAGGACGGGGUGGAGCCACGAUGUGUGAACCUUGCCUGGUCUCAUUCCAAGGCCGUUCUCUUGUUAUAAUGAACAUGAGAUCCACUGAAGUGAUGGGAGUCAUGUCAGGGACACAGAAACUAUACUAAGUCCGCUACACAGAGAUUUAACAUAGUGAAUGGCGUACACAGGCACUGCGACAGUAGGAAGAAGGUGAGGGGACCCAGAGACGAGGAAAAGCAAAGAGCCCACACCUUCCCCGGGGCUGGGUCACAAAGGCAGGAGACCAGGUCACCAACCUGCAGGCAGAGAGCAGGGGUUUCAUCCCAGGAGCUGGGAGCAUGGAGGAAGGACCAGUGUGGUGCUGCGGGUGAGACCACCCACAAGGGGAAGGAGGAGAGAGCUGAGAGGAACCAAGGCCACCCCUGCCUUCCCCACUCAGGCCUCCAGCCAGCAGAACCCACCAGAAGGCCCCCUGGCGAGGAAGCCUGAGGUGCCCAGUCUGCAGGUAAGCCACCCCCAAAACACUCACAGACAGCUGGGUGCAGCAAGUGAAAAUGCCUCGUGACUUCCACAGCGCCUGGCACAGGGCUCAGUGCCUCUGAACCAAAUGCCA
rnacentral:lncRNA from 1 species